AGAAAAUCAGGGUCAGCAGCAAAUGUGAAGCAGCUCUGAAUCUGCGGGAUUUACAAGAGGAUCAUUUUAUGGAAGAGACGAGCCUAUCUAUACAAACUGGAAGAUUUUUCAUCACUUGCAUGCGGGGCUUGAAAAAAGACUAAACUGGACUACAAUGUUACUGUCAACCGUUAGGGGAGCACCAAGUCCCUCCCUGCAAAAGGGGACUAGCUAAAGGGCCCCACAGUAACCAAAAUAGGCAAAGGGAAAGAGAACAGUCAUGGAAUAGGGAGGGGGUGCUUGAUUUUGGUAAGAGGUAAUAAAAAAGGUUUGAUUAAGAUGAUAUGGCAAUGUAAAAAAAGACCAAGAGAGGCUCCAAUGAGGAGAGCAGAGGGAACAGAACAAGUCUUCAAUAAACAAGGCUGAGGAAAACUAAGGAAAAUUUGGUAGAAAACUCUUAGGUAUAUUAUGGGUUAUAAGGGCCUCGCAAAGAUAUUGCCAUAAAAAAUAUCACAGGCGAGCUAUAAUUCCAUGUAGUCAACCCCACAUUGUGAGGUUAAGACUUGAUAUGUUGUUGUAAUCAAAAGAUUACCAAUCGAGAGGAA